UACGUAGGGUGCAAGCGUUAAUCGGAAUUACUGGGCGUAAAGCGUGCGCAGGUGGUUGUGCAAGACAGAUGUGAAAUCCCCGGGCUUAACCUGGGAACUGCAUUUGUGACUGCACGGCUAGAGUGUGGCAGAGGGGGAUGGAAUUCCGCGUGUAGCAGUGAAAUGCGUAGAUAUGCGGAGGAACACCGAUGGCGAAGGCAAUCCCCUGGGCCUGCACUGACACUCAUGCACGAAAGCGUGGGGAGCAAACAGG
rnacentral:rRNA from 1 species